GCUUAGCCCUAAACUUAGAUAGCAAAAUACUACCUAUCCGCCAGAGAACUACAAGCAAAAUACUUAAAACUCAAAGGACUUGGCGGCAUUCCAUAUCAACCUAGAGGAGCCCGUCCAAUAAUCGAUAAUACACGCUCAACCCAACCAUUUUUGGCCACUCCAGCCUAUAUACCGCCGUCGUCAGCUAACCUUGUGAAAGAAAAGUAGUAAGCACAACAGCCCCCGCAAAAACGUCAGGUCAAGGUGUAGCUAAUAAAAUGGGUGUGAUAGGCUACAUUUUCUAUUAUAGAAAAAACGGAAAAUACAAUGAAACCUUGUAAUAGAAGGUGAAUUUAGAAGUAAACUAAGAAAGGAUCCUUAUUUUAACACUGCCCUGGAAUGCGCACACACCGCCCGUCACCCUCCUCAAUAAAUCAGAUGAGGCAAGUCGUAACAUGGUAAGCGUACUGGAAAGUGCGCUUGGAUUA
rnacentral:rRNA from 1 species